rnacentral:rRNA from 1 species
UACGAAGGGGGCUAGCGUUGCUCGGAAUCACUGGGCGUAAAGCGCACGUAGGCGGAUAUUUAAGUCGGUGGUGAAAUCCUGGAGCUCAACUCCAGAACUGCCUCCGAUACUGAAUGUCUUCGAGUCCGGGAGAGGUGAGUGGGACUGCGAGUGUAGAGGUGAAAUUCGUAGAUAUUCGCAAGAACACCAGUGGCGAAGGCGGCUCACUGGCCCGGUACUGACGCUGAGGUGCGAAAGCGUGGGGAGCAAACAGG